rnacentral:piRNA from 1 species
UGACUUAUCUAGGUCCAUAUAGGCUGGCUA